rnacentral:rRNA from 1 species
UCCAGACUCCUACGGGAGGCAGCAGUGGGGGAUAUUGCACAAUGGGGGGAACCCUGAUGCAGCGACGCCGCGUGGGUGAAGGAGCGUUUCGGCGCGUAAAGCCCUAUCGGCAGGGAAGAAGGAGGACGGUACCUGACUAAGAAGCCCCGGCUAACUACGUGCCAGCAGCCGCGGUAAUACGUAGGGGGCAAGCGUUAUCCGGAUUUACUGGGUGUAAAGGGAGCGUAGACGGUAUGGCAAGUCUGAUGUGAAAACCCGGGGCUCAACCCCGGGACUGCAUUGGAAACUGUCGGACUAGAGUGUCGGAGAGGCAAGUGGAAUUCCUAGUGUAGCGGUGAAAUGCGUAGAUAUUAGGAGGAACACCAGUGGCGAAGGCGGCUUACUGGACUGUAACUGACGUUGAGGCUCGAAAGCGUGGGGAGCAAACAGGAUUAGAUACCCGAGUA